rnacentral:rRNA from 1 species
UCGAGAAUCUUCGGCAAUGAGCGCAAGCUUGACCGAGCGACGCCGCGUGCGGGAUGAAGGCCCUCGGGUUGUAAACCGCGAAAGUUGGGAGGAAGGCUCCGUGAAGAGCGGAGUUUGACCUAUCUUCAGUAAGGACGGGCUAAGUUCGUGCCAGCAGCCGCGGUAAUACGAACCGUCCAAACGUUAUUCGGAAUCAUUGGGCUUAAAGGGUACGUAGGCGGCGCUGUUAGUCGGGUGUGAAAUCCCUCGGCUCAACCGAGGAAUUGCGCCCGAUACUGCAGUGCUCGAGGGAGACAGAGGUAAGCGGAACUGAUGGUGGAGCGGUGAAAUGCGUUGAUAUCAUCAGGAACACCAGUGGCGAAAGCGGCUUACUGGGUCUCUUCUGACGCUGAGGUACGAAAGCUAGGGGAGCAAACGGGAUUAGAUACCCGGGUAGUCC